AGGAUUUCCAACUUUUGCUUUUCCACUAUGAUGGUCGGACAAGUGAAUGGGAUGAAUUUGAGUGGUCAAAGAGCGCAAUCCAUGUUAGUGCAAGGAGACAAACAAAAUGGUGGUAUGCAAAAAGGUUUUUGCAUCCUGACGUUGUUGCAGCUUAUGAGUAUAUUUUUAUUUGAGAUGAAGAUCUUGACGUGGAACACUUCAACGGGGAGAAGUAAGUUCUAUUUUUCCAGUUAUGAUUUCUGGUCAAGUUUAACAGUCACAACUUUCUUUCUAAAUUGCUCCAUAUGAAUAACCAUGUAUAUUGAGUUGGUUAAAAAACAUGGGCUAGAGAUCUCUCAACCAGGUCUGGAGCCCAAUAACGGAUUGACAUGGCAAAUGACGAAGUGGAGGGGUGAUCGAGAGGUUCACAAGUUUACAAAAGAGAAACCUGGCUGUUGCAGUGAUCCACAUGUGCCUCCAUGUGCUGCAUAUGUUUUUUCUCUCUCACACGUAGAUUUUGUAUUAUGUUGACAUAUCUCAAUUGGUGAGUUAACAUCAUUCAUAAUUAUAGUACUUGCAUGCUAGUUAUUGACAUGAAAAAUCAUGCUUCAGUGAAGAAGUGUCAAUUGCCUAUUGGCAAUAACGGAUAUUUAUGGUUCCUUAUAUACGACUUGUUAAUUGACACAUUU